rnacentral:rRNA from 1 species
CGUGAGCGGCGGACGGGUGGGUAACGCGUGGGUAACCGUGCCUCAUACAGGGGGAUAACAGUUGGAAACGGGUGCUAAUACCGCAUAAGCGCACAGUACCGCAUGGUACCGUGUGAAAAACUCCGGUGGUAUGAGAUGGACCCGCGUCUGAUUAGCUAGUUGGUGGGGUAACGGCCUACCAAGGCGACGAUCAGUAGCCGACCUGAGAGGGUGACCGGCCACAUUGGGACCGAGACACGGCCCAA